rnacentral:rRNA from 1 species
AUUGAACGCUGGCGGCAGGCCUAACACAUGCAAGUCGAGCGGAUGAAGGGAGCUUGCUCCUGGAUUCAGCGGCGGACGGGUGAGUAAUGCCUAAGAAUCUGCCUGCUAGUGGAGGAUAACGUCCGGAAACGGGCGCUAAUACCGCAUACGUCCUGAGGGAGAAAGUGGGGGAUCUUCGGACUUCACGCUAUCAGAUGGGCCUAGGUCGGAGUAGCUAGUUGGGGGGGUAAAGGCUUACCAAGCCGACGAUCCGUAACUGGUCUGAGAGGAUGAUCAGGCACACUAGAGGUGGGACGCGGACCCGAGUCCUGCGGGAGGGAGCAGUGGGGAAUAUGGGACAGUGGGCGGAAGCCUGAUCCAGUCAUGCCGAGUGUGUGAAGGAGGUCUUCGGUUGGUAAAGCACGUUAAGUUGGGGUGAAGGGCAGUAAGUUAAUACCUUGCUGUUUUGACGUUACCAGCAGAAUAAGCACCGGCCAACUUCGUG